UGAUUAUUGGAGGUAGAGCACUGUUUGGACGAGGGGCCCCUCUCGGGUUACCGAAUUCAGACAAACUCCGAAUGCCAAUUAAUUUAACUUGGGAGUCAGAACAUGGGUGAUAAGGUCCGUGUUCGAAAGGGAAACAGCCCAGACCACCAGCUAAGGUCCCAAAAUAUAUGUUAAGUGGAAAAGGAUGUGGCGUUGCCCAGACAACUAGGAUGUUGGCUUAGAAGCAGCCAUCAUUUAAAGAGUGCGUAAUAGCUCACUAGUCGAGUGACACUGCGCCGAAAAUGUACCGGGGCUAAACAUAUUACCGAAGCUGUGGAUUGUCCUUUGGACAAUGGUAGGAGAGCGUUCUAAGGGCGUUGAAGCAUGAUCGUAAGGACAUGUGGAGCGCUUAGAAGUGAGAAUGCCGGUGUGAGUAGCGAAAGACGGGUGAGAAUCCCGUCCACCGAUUGACUAAGGUUUCCAGAGGAAGGCUCGUCCGCUCUGGGUUAGUCGGGUCCUAAGCUGA
rnacentral:rRNA from 1 species